UACGUAGGGACCAAGCGUUGUUCGGAUUUACUGGGCGUAAAGGGCGCGUAGGCGGCGCGGUAAGUCACUUGUGAAAUCUCUGAGCUUAACUCAGAACGGCCAAGUGAUACUGCAGUGCUAGAGUGUGGAAGGGGCAAUCGGAAUUCUUGGUGUAGCGGUGAAAUGCGUAGAUAUCGAAGAGGAACACCUGAGUGAAGACGGGUUGCUGGGCCGAACACUGACGCUGAUGCGCGAAAGCCAGGGGAGGCAAACGGG
rnacentral:rRNA from 1 species